rnacentral:rRNA from 1 species
CCUACGGGAGGCAGCAGUGAGGAAUAUUGGUCAAUGGACGGAAGCCUGAACCAGCCAUGCCGCGUGCAGGAGGACGGCCCUAUGGGUUGUAAACUGCUUUUGUACAGGGGUAAACCUGAAUACGUGUAUUCAGCUGAAAGUACUGUACGAAUAAGGAUCGGCUAACUCCGUGCCCGCAGCCGCGGUAAUACGGAGGAUCCAAGCGUUAUCCGGAUUUAUUGGGUUUAAAGGGUGCGUAGGCGGAUUGAUAAGUUAGUGGUGAAAUGUGCGAGCUUAAAUCGGGAACUGCCUCUAAUACUGUUGAUCUAGAGAGUAGAUGCGGUAGGCGGAAUGUAUGGUGUAGCGGUGAAAUGCUUAGAGAUCAUACAGAACACCGAUUGCGAAGGCAGCUUACCAAUCUAUAACUGACGUUGAGGCACGAAAGCGUGGGGAGCGAAUAGGAUUAGAUACCCGGGUAGUC